rnacentral:tRNA from 2 species
UCCCCUGUGGUGUAAUCGGCAACACGUCUGAUUUUGGUUCAGGUGUUCCAGGUUCGAGUCCUGGCAGGGGAG